GCCCGGAUAAUGUAGUGGUUAACAUACCCAGUUCGGAUCUGGGAGGUCCCGGGUUCAAAUCCCGGUUCGGGCC